rnacentral:lncRNA from 10 species
UUUGGUUCCAGUCCACCUCAAUAAAAGAUGAAAACCAUGAAGCUAAGAACAGCAAAGCAAAUUUCCCUGAAUUGUGUGACUGUUGGUAGAACAGGGUUCACGCGUUUCACUCCACACAGUUUUGAUGCAUUCUGCCUUGCGCCAAAAGGGUAUCCAGCAGAGUGGAAGCAGCUGCUUCACCCGGGAUGGAGGAGGAUGUUCAACCAGCUCUCAGAGGUCAUGCCUGAACUCUAAGGACAUGGCUUUAUCCUUCUCAGGAUGUAUUCUUCGCCUGCUACAUCUUGAACACAGCAACCACGAGCAGUCUUCAUCCCAUGACCGCUGCCCCCGCCUUGUUUCCACAGACCCAAGCUCCUGCAGUGCUCGAGUCACAUGAUCAAGCGCUCAUUUCUGUUUGUGAAGUUUCUCAGCCAAAAGGAAAACCAUUAGGUAUCAAAUUGCAAGUAGAAAGCAUCCAAGAAGCUGCCUAUUCCAGCACCAGUUCCUGCCAAAGAACCUUAAAUAAACUUGGUGAAGGGAAGAUGUCUGAAAUUACUCUAUACUCAGUAUAUUUAGUUAGAUUAAUAAUAGAACUUGAUUUCAUCUAACUAAUUAAUUUGAGUUCUAAAAGCAGACACAAAUAAUAGGCUUGUUUUUUUUCAUUUUUUUUUCAUUUUGAUUCCCUUUGGGGAUUUUUUUUAGGGGGGGUGGUGUAAAAUGUUAGUCAAUGUACUACUAAGGAUAAAAGAAAAACUAUCUAUCUAAAGAGUGAAGUAGCUCUUUAUAUUUUUAACCAAAGGUGAGAGGUAAAGUCAAGCAAUUUCUCUAACAAUCAAUUGUUAUAUACAGCAGUAACAUGGAUAGAAAAGGAUACUCAAACAGGAAAAAAAAAUCAAUACAACUUAAAAAACAUAAUUAAACACGUAAAAUGUUUGCCUUUAUUUUUGAAAAUUAUCUUAUUUCAAUACAAUAUUUUCUGAAGGAAAGUGAACAGUUAUGUCCCCAUUUAAAAAAAAUAAGUCUAAUAAGGUAGACACUCCUUAUGUUCUACAUGACAAUGAAUUUCAUGACACCUGACUGACUUCUCAUUGCAAGGCACAUUAAUAUAAAUGACUCUCACUAAGCAACAAAGGCUGGAGGAAGAAGUUCCUCUGCCCUGAGAGCUCCCUGUGAGAGAGAAGAAGAUGAGCAGGAGUCAGGCACGUCCUUGUUCCUAGCACUUGAAAUGGGAGAGGACUGGCCAGAAAUCAGAAGAAAACAAGAUCUGAUGUUUUACCUUUGAGUAAAAUUUAUUUU